rnacentral:tRNA from 1 species
GGCCUGAUGGUCUAGUAGUAUGAUUCCUUGUUAGGGCAGCUUGCUUAUCGAGGAGGUCCCGGGUCCAAUUCCCGGUCAGGCCC